rnacentral:rRNA from 3 species
UCGGAUACGAAUAGGCCUUUGGCCCAGAACCUUACCAGAUCGGCGUUGGUGGCCUCAUUGAAAUUGGGGUCACUAGCCGGUGUAUUGCAAUUGUACAGUGCGCAGGAUUGAAUCCUUUGCAGACGACUUAGUUGUCUAGCCGGGUCGUGUAAGCAGUCGAGUAGCCUUGUAGUUACGAGCUGCUGAGCGUAAGCCCGCCGCUAGCUUGGUUGAAA